UUAGUUCUUUAAUUGUGAUCUGGAAUGAAUGGCUUGACGAGACACGAGCUGUCUUAGGUUGUGAAUGUUUUAUUGAAUUUGGUUUUUGAGUUAAAAUUCUUAGAUGUUUUUAUGGGACGAGAAGACCCUAUAGAGUUUAACAUUUGGUCUAUUUUCCUUAUUGUUUGUUUUGUUUAAUUAAGUGGGCUUAUAUGUUUUGUUGGGGCGAUGAGAGGGAUAUAGUUUAACCCCUCUUUAUUUUGGUUAUAUUAAUUUAUAG
rnacentral:rRNA from 1 species